UACGUAUGGAGCAAGCGUUAUCCGGAUUUACUGGGUGUAAAGGGUGCGUAGGCGGCAGAGCAAGUCAGAUGUGAAAGACCGGGGCUCAACCCCGGGGCUGCAUUUGAAACUGUUUUGCUGGAGUCCGGGAGAGGCAGGCGGAAUUCCUAGUGUAGCGGUGAAAUGCGUAGAUAUUAGGAGGAACACCAGUGGCGAAGGCGGCCUGCUGGACCGGAACUGACGCUGAGGCACGAAAGCGUGGGGAGCAAACAGG
rnacentral:rRNA from 1 species